AUUGAACGCUGGCGGCAGGCCUAACACAUGCAAGUCGAACGGUAACAGGAUGAGGCUUUCUUCUUUGCUGACGAGUGUCGGACGCGUGAGUAAUGUCCGGGAAACUGUCUGAUGUCGGGGGAUAACUAGUAGAGACGGUAGCGAAUACAGCAUAAUCUACCUAGACCAAAGAGGGGGAGAUUCUGGCCUCUUGCCCUCUGAUGUGCCCAGAUGGGAUUAGCUAGUAGGUGGGGUAACGGCGCACCUAGGCGACGAUCCCUAGCUGGUCUGAGAGGAUGAUCAGCCACACUGGAACUGAGACACGGUCCAGACUCCUACGGGAGGCAGCAGUGGGGAAUAUUGGACAAUGGGCGCAAGCCUGAUGCAGCCAUACCGCGUGUAUGAAGAAGGCCUUCGGGUUGUAAAGUACUUUCGGCGGGGAGGAAAAGAGUAAGGUUAAUACCCUUGCGCAUUGACGUUACCCGAAGAAGAAGCACCGGCUAACUCCGUG
rnacentral:rRNA from 1 species